UUUCCUCUUUCUUAUUUCCUGAUUCUAGGCUUUAAAACACUUUCCUUUUGUGUUUUUAACCCUAGCCGAAUUUCCCUUGCUAUUUCCUUUAAUUUUCUGAUUUGUUUCCUUAAUUCUAGAAGCUUUAAACUUAAUUCCUGAUUACCUAAUUAGUCUAGGGUUUUUAAUUUCCUAAUCCCUUUAAAUAAACAUGUUUGUGCAGCCACAAACAUCUCCAUUCAGCCACACACUCUCCCAAAUUCGUCAAAACCCAUCCACAACCUCAGAAACCAGUCCUCCUCCAUC
rnacentral:lncRNA from 1 species